CUUAUGGGAAAGUUACACUUUAUUUUGGAGGCAUCUCUCUUGCAACUUUUCUUUCCAAAGAUGCUGAGUUUACUAUGACUAUUAUUAACACAUGUAUGUAAUUAAUCCUCCAUCGCAAAGCUUUCCAUGUACAGUAAAUCAAAACUAGUUUAUCCUUUGGACGGCAUAUACUAAAUUUUUAAAAGAAAGACUAAGGUCUAUUUAUCAAAUCAAAUUCAGUUGAAUGUUUGAGAAAGUGUCCCUUUACAUAGGUUUAUACCAUAUGAUGUGUUGAUUUUCUGGGGCACAAUUUGCCUCUCUGUGUUCUACCAUAAAACUAUAGUCCUGCAUUCAUCUCAACCCUAGCCUUGUAACAUUUUUUCAACUAAUUAUAUCCAUAAAAAGAGUUCAGUGUAAAUAUGGUUUUAGCAGUUUAUAACAAGAAAAGUGGCUUCCACUUAUUUUAAGUUCAAGUUCCCCAUAUUCAAUUACUGUUAGCAAGCACUCCACCUACUGGCUUACGUGAUGCCAAGCAAGCAGACCAUGUUCUGAAGCAAAUUGGCAAUAGUAAAAGAUGCAAGUCUGCCAAUUUGAAAAGGAUCGCAGCCUCCAGAUUGUCAGAGUCCAAGAAGAGAGACUUGUCUUUUUUGGAGAAUGUUGUGCAGAGACAAAAUAAGAAAGCUGGACAUCAUGUAAGAUUUAUUGCCAACAUUGCAACUUUUCAUACAAACAAGGAGCAUUCCUUGGAUCUCAGCAGAGUGGUUCUUCAGUGUUCACAGGAAGUUAAAUGGUGAGCAAAUAAAGUAGUCUAACCACUAGAAUGAGAUUCUUCC
ensembl:lncRNA